GCUUGUCUCAAAGAUUAAGCCAUGCAUGUCUAAGUAUAAGCCUUUGUACGGCGAAACUGCGAAUGGCUCAUUAAAACAGUUAUAGUUUAUUCGAUAAUCAAUUGCUACAUGGAUAACUGAGGUAAUUCUUGAGCUAAUACAUGCGAAAAAUCUCGACUCACGGAGAGAUGCUUUUAUUAGAUCAAAACCAAACGGCUUCGGCCGUCUCAUUGGUGACUCUGAAUAACUUUGGGCUGAUCGUAUGGCCUUGUGCCGACGACGUUUCCUUCGAAGGUGUGCCCUAUCAACUGUCGACUGUGAUAUAGACGCUCACAGUGGUUUUGACGGGUAACGGGGAAUCAGGGUUCGAUUCCGGAGAGGGAGCCUUAAAAACGGCUACCACAUCCAAGGAAGGCAGCAGG
rnacentral:rRNA from 1 species